rnacentral:rRNA from 1 species
AACGAACGCUGGCGGCAUGCCUAACACAUGCAAGUCGAACGAGACCUUCGGGUCUAGUGGCGCACGGGUGCGUAACGCGUGGGAACCUGCCCUCAGGUUCGGAAUAACGUCGGGAAACUGACGCUAAUACCGGAUAAUGUCUUCGGACCAAAGAUUUAUUGCCUGGGGAUGGGCCCGCGUUGGAUUAGCUAGUUGGUGGGGUAAAGGCUCACCAAGGCGACGAUCCAUAGCUGGUCUUAGAGGAUGAUCAGCCACACUGGGACUGAGACACGGCCCAGACUCCUACGGGAGGCAGCAGUGGGGAAUAUUGGACAAUGGGCGAAAGCCUGAUCCAGCAAUGCCGCGUGAGUGAUGAAGGCCUUAGGGUUGUAAAGCUCUUUUACCAGGGAUGAUAAUGACAGUAC